rnacentral:pre_miRNA from 1 species
GGAAACUUGGAAACUGCCGUUGGAUCGAAAAAUGGACGUCCGAGAUUCAUCCACAUCAUCAUGAGUAAAAAUUUAACUCAUGAGUAAAAAUUUUACUGUUUACUCGUGAUGACGUGGAUGAAUAUCGAACGUCCAUUUUUCGAUCCAACGGUAGUUUCCAAGUUUCU